CCUGCAGUGUCUGGGCCAGUGCAAGCUUCAGAUAGACUUAUGAAAGGGCUCAGGGACAUAUACAGAUCACAGAGUUAUAAGACAGGUUGACACUGAUAGUCCUUUGCACAAUGAUCUUCAGAUCUUAAAAGAAAAACAAGGGAUAGGAGACAUUUUGCUUAUCUUUUAAGGUAGGUAUUGGAUGGAGGAGCAUUAUGUAUGGAACCUCUCACAAAACAGGUGAUUAUUUUCUUAUAAUACUCAAUUUUCACUCUCAAGACAGUGUUUUGAUUAUGUAAGUUAGAUCAUGAGUACAAGGUUAUCUUAAAGAUAUUUUAGUUUUUUUUUUUUUUUCCACAGCACCUACUUUCAAGAAUGAAAAAGGUAUCCCAGCACUUUGGGAGGCCCGGGCCGGCAGAUCACAAGGUCAGGAGAUCGAGACCAUCCUGGCUAACAUGGCGAAACCCCAUCUCUACUAAAAAAAUACAAAAUUUAGCUGGGCAUGGUGGCGGGCACCUGUAGUCCCAGCAUCUCGGGAGGCUUAGGCAGGAGAAUGGCAUGAACCUGGGAGGCGGAGCUUGCAGAGAGCCAAGAUGGCGCCACUGCACUGCAGUCUGGACGACAGAACUACCUGCUAGGAUACACAUUAACAGUAACCUUUAUGUAAGGUUCUAAUUUGGUCAUGUUGUGCACCUAGAACAUCGGUUUGUUGUUUUUUGUGAGAUUCUGGAAAUGUUCCAAUUUUACUUUUUCCCCUUGACUCCAGACUUUUUAACACUGAUCUGCUGCUGUUAAGUUACAUGCUAUUUUGUUAGGCCUUCUCAAGUGGGAAUCAGGAAUGCUGUGGUGUUCUAGGGAUGUUUUGUUCUUCCUGUAGGGCUGAAGCAGUGCCUACUCGAUAGAAUCAGUCAUCAUGCAGAUAAAUGCCAAAUGAGUCAAAGGCAAAGCCAACGUGCAGCUUGGAGCAAAGAAGUUAAAAGAAUAUUGGCAGAGGAAGAGCCCUGGCAUUCUAGCAGGAGCUAACAGGAAAAAGAAAAUCAAUGGCAGUAGCCCUGACACAGCCGCUUCUGGUGGUUACCGCUCACCUGGGGAUUCAGCAACAGGUGUCUACAGGGAGGGUCCUGUGUCAUCUACUACCCUGAAAGAUCUGCAGGUUCGCACAUUGAAGGAGGAGAAGAAGCAUGAGAUACAUCGGGUACAGAAGCUUGGGAGGAGCUUGUUCAAACUCAAACACCAGAG
rnacentral:lncRNA from 1 species